rnacentral:rRNA from 1 species
ACUCAAAUGAAUUGACGGGGGCCCGCACAAGCGGUGGAGCAUGUGGUUUAAUUCGAUGCAACGCGAAGAACCUUACCUACCCUUGACAUCUUAGGAAUCUUACAGAGAUGUGAGAGUGCCGAAAGGAACCUAGAGACAGGUGCUGCAUGGCUGUCGUCAGCUCGUGUUGUGAGAUGUUGGGUUAAGUCCCGUAACGAGCGCAACCCUUAUCCUUAGUUGCCAACAUGUAAUGGUGGGGACUCUAAGGAGACUGCUGGUGAUGAACCGGAGGAAGGUGGGGACGACGUCAAGUCAUCAUGGCCUUUAUGGGUAGGGCUACACACGUGCUACAAUGGGCAGUACAGAGGGUAGCGAAACUGCGAAGUGGAGCCAAUCUCAAAAAGCUGUUCGUAGUCCGGAUUGAAGUCUGCAACUCGACUUCAUGAAGUCGGAAUCGCUAGUAAUCGCGAAUCAGAAUGUCGCGGUGAAUACGUUCCCGGGCCUUGUACACACCGCCCGU